rnacentral:rRNA from 1 species
GGGGAAUAUUGGACAAUGGGGGCAACCCUGAUCCAGCCAUGUCGUGUGUGUGAAGAAGGCCUUCGGGUUGUAAAGCACUUUAAGCGGGGAGGAAGGCCUGAUGGCUAAUAUCCAUCGGGAUUGACGUUACCCGCAGAAUAAGCACCGGCAAACUUCGUGCCAGCAGUCGCGGUAAUACGAAGGGUGCGAGUGUUAAUCGGAAUUAUUGGGCGUAAAGCGCGCGUAGGUGGUUAAGUAAGCGAUCUGUGAAAGCCCCGGGCUUAACCUGGGAACUGCAGGUCGAACUGCUUGGCUAGAGUAUGGUAGAGGGGUGUGGAAUUUCCUGUGUAGCGGUGAAAUGCGUAGAUAUAGGAAGGAACAUCAGUGGCGAAGGCGACACCCUGGACCGAUACUGACACUGAGGCGCGAAAGCGUGGGUAGCGAAC